UACGGGGGGGCAAGCGUUGUUCGGAAUUACUGGGCGUAAAGGGCGCGUAGGCGGCCGACUAAGUCAGACGUGAAAUCCCAUGGCUCAACCAUGGAACUGCGUCUGAUACUGGACGGCUUGAGUUCGGGAGAGGGAAGUGGAAUUCCAGGUGUAGCGGUGAAAUGCGUAGAUAUCUGGAGGAACACCGGUGGCGAAGGCGGCUUCCUGGACCGACACUGACGCUGAGGCGCGAAAGCCAGGGGAGCAAACGGG
rnacentral:rRNA from 1 species